GAUGCGCGCUUCCGCGCGUUUCCGCUUCCGCCACGGCAGACGGCACCUCGUGCCGGCAGUCGCCGCGUCCUCGUCCGCUUCUCUGCGCUAUGUCGGGUGGCCUCCUGAAGGCGCUGCGCAGCGACUCCUACGUGGAGCUGAGCCAGUACCGGGACCAGCACUUCCGGGGUGACAAUGAAGAACAAGAAAAAUUACUGAAGAAAAGCUGUACGUUAUAUGUUGGAAAUCUUUCUUUUUACACAACUGAAGAACAAAUCUACGAACUCUUCAGCAAAAGUGGUGACAUAAAGAAAAUCAUUAUGGGUCUGGAUAAAAUGAAGAAAACAGCGUGUGGAUUCUGUUUCGUGGAAUAUUACUCACGUGCAGAUGCCGAAAAUGCCAUGCGGUACAUAAAUGGAACACGUCUGGAUGACCGAAUCAUUCGCACAGACUGGGACGCAGGCUUUAAGGAGGGCAGGCAGUACGGCCGUGGGCGAUCUGGGGGCCAGGUUCGGGAUGAGUAUCGGCAGGACUAUGACGCUGGAAGAGGAGGCUAUGGAAAACUGGCCCAGAACCAGUCUCAAUAAAGCUGGAUGAACGCAUUGCUGUUGCCGCCGUUUCCUGCCCUGUGAAGAGGGUUGUGUUCCGGAACUCCUGUACUCUGGAUACACAUGGAUGAGUUCUGGGGGAUUCUAGGAACAAUGCGGACAAUCUGCGUGUGCAUUCUGAUUGACAGCUGGAAAUAACUAUGGCUGCAUGUGAAGAGAGCACAGAUGUGCUUGUGAAAGUGAUAAAAUAGGCACCAAGCAACCUCUGCCGAUGGAAGAAUAGACCUGCAGAUUGCUUGCCAAUGGCUUUUCUAAAAAUUCUGCAAAUGCCAAAGGUUAUGAUACGGACAAAUUCAAGUCAGUCUCCAAUGUGGCUUACUGAUAACCUCCAAUGAGGCAUGGAUGAUACCUACAGUUCACUCUUGAUCCCUGGAAGGUGGUUCUUCCUAAUGAUAACAUCUGAGAAUGCAGAAACUACUGCUCCUCAGCAACAAAGGGGAGGUAAGUACUCUGUGGCUCGUACCUAGCAUCAUAUACACACACAGGAACGGCCCUCUCUCCCCUCUCAACCCCACAAACUCAGUUCACACAGUGUAAACUCUGAAAAGCAUUCUUUCUUUACCUGGAGCACAAAGACUCCACAGUCACUGUCAUUUUUCUGUUGUGGAAUACACUGAGGGGAAAAACAAGACAGUCAUUAAAAUAAGAUCAAUUACUCCUCUUCAGAUAAGAAAAACUCCUUUAUGGAAAAAUGUGCAAAGGAUAGGAAACUUUUCUCUCUCCAGGACAGCUGGUAUAUCCUCUGGUAUCUCAAGCAUCUAAUGUUAUGGAGGCACCUGGCCACAUAAAAAGAGCUAUCAGGUGACAACCACAACUUAGAGAACAAUGUUCUACCUAAAUAUGAGAAAUGGGAAAUCAAAUGUAAAAACCUAUUUUAAAAACAUGCAUUUGGAUACUGGGUUCUGCUAUCAAUUCACUGACAAUGGAGUCAAAAUGGAAUUGUGGCUGGGAACACAGGCCCGGCCCCUGGACGCCAGGAUGGUGAGAAUGCCACUGAGCAGUCUUCGCUUUAGAUCUCCCAUCACACGACCCUGUCCUAUUCUUUGAAAGAAACUGUGAAGCUAAACAGUAUGGUUGUUGUGAUGGGGCUUUUUUUUGAGACAGGGUCUCACUCUGUCGCCCAGGCUGGAGUGCAGUGGCACAGUCUCAGUCUCCUGAGUUCAAGCAAUCCUCCUACCUCAGCUUCCCAAGUAGCUGGGACUACACCUGGUUAAUUUUAUUAUUUUAUUAUUUGUAGAGAUGAGGUCUCACCAUGUUGCCCAGGCUGGUCUUGAACUCCUAGACUUAAGCAAUCCACCCACCUUUGCCUCCCAAAAGUGCUGGGAAUACAGGCAUGAGCCACUGUGCCCGGCCAACAGUAUGUUUUUAAAAGAACCGGUUACUGUAUUCUGCCCAAAGUGGGGAUACGGAAGAUCCUAACUAAAUUUAGAAUACCUAGAUUUUUUUAGUUGAGUAAUUUCAGGAAAUUUACUAGUUCUGGUUUCACCUGGUAUACUAGGUUAUUCAAAAUACAAAACUUAAGCUUAAUUUUAAAAUUUAGCAUUUGGUUCGGUUCAAGGAUGAACUAAUAAAUCUUGUCUCUUUGGGUUUGGGUUAAAGGUUUGUUUCAAGAUCCUGCCUAUAACAUUGUGUCAAUGAUCCAGACAGACCUGCAUUCAAGGACCUGACUCUAUAUCAAUAGUUUUGAUGUCCUUUGGGGAAAAUCACACCUGGGCUUCAGUUUUCUCAUUUACAAAAUAAAGAUGAUGUUUAUCCCUAGAUGACCUGCCUACCGCACAGGUUAUAAGGAUCAAAUGAGAUCUAAUACACAAAAACACUGGAAACAAUACAGCCCGCCAUCAAUGGAAGACACUGGUAUUUACGACAGGAAUGAGCGGCUGUGCCUGGGCACUCUGCCUCACAGUUCGAAUGUCAUGGGCCAAACAUGGUGCUGCAUCCAGACGGUGGUGGGACUGAAGUGCCUGGGCUAUCUUCCCCACAUGCCUGGCAAGUAGCCCAGUGCACCUUCUCCCCCUCAGUGGAUCCAAACAGUCAUUUCAGCAUUCCUCUGGGUCUAUACGGGUCAUCUGGAAAUAAGCCAUGAUGCAAGAGGCAAGUGCCACCCAAAAAAGUUUUUUUUUCCCCCCGGAAGAGCAAACACAUCAUUAGCAACUGCCUCAGGGAGGAAGUGACUGAAGUGAUUUGCUCCCGGGAAGCACUGGGCAACUGAGCAGCGAUGAUGAAUACUAAACUGAAGUUUAUUCUCAGCUGCCUCCCUGGAGCCUCCAGGAUCUCCUUGGUAUCUCUGUCACCAGUUUUCAAAUACUCUUAAAGGCACCCACCCUUACAUAAUUCCAUCCCCUGGACAUGCCUGGGUUUCAUUGUUAUCACAUACUUACCUUCGUAACAGCAGUCUGCCAACCCUGAAGAAAUUCAGGUCUAUUUUUUUCUCUGGCUUCAGUCAGCAAAUACUUUCUUAUAUUCUGGUUAAAAAGAAACCACAACACAGAUGCUGUGUUCCAUCAGUUGGUGAAAAAUGGGACAUGCCCAUAGCAGACAGAAGGAAAAGAGGAGGCUGUGGCCCCAUAGCUGGGCAGAGUAUGCAUUAAGAAGCUGGAACAAAUUUUUUUUUUUAAGAGAGAGGAUCUUGCUCCGUCACCCAGGCUGGAGUGCAAUGGGGUGAUCAGAGCUCACUGCAGCCUUGAACUCUCAGGCUCCAGAGAUCCUCCUACCUCAGCCUUCCAAGUAGCUGGGACUACAGGUGUACACCACUGCUCCUGGCUAAAGCUGGAAUUUUAUUUCAGACUCUCCAUUUCAUAUUGUUAAGGGGGAGUCAGACCGCCUGUAUUCAAGUUUGCACCCAGACUGUGGAUGCUGGCUUUGUCUAAUCAGAACAUUUUAUGGGAUGGUUAUAGCCAGCCCUUCCCAACAGUAAGUCAGCUGCUGCAUUUGAAACUUACAUACUGGCAAGUCAAAAAGAAAGUCUUUAUCAUUGCCAGUGCUCCACAGAGGAAAGGAACCCAUGGCAGACAUCAUUAACAACUAAAA